rnacentral:rRNA from 1 species
AUUGAACGCUGGCGGCAGGCCUAACACAUGCAAGUCGAACGGUAGCACAGAGAGCUUGCUCUCGGGUGACGAGUGGCGGACGGGUGAGUAACGUCUGGGAAACUGCCCGAUGGAGGGGGAUAACUACUGGAGACGGUAGCUAAUACCGCAUAACGACGCAAGACCAAAGUGGGGGACCUUCGGGCCUCACACCAUCGGAUGUGCCCAGAUGGGAUUAGCUAGUAGGUGGGGUAAUGGCUCACCUAGGCGACGAUCCCUAGCUGGUCUGAGAGGAUGACCAGCCACACUGGAACUGAGACACGGUCCAGACUCCUACGGGAGGCAGCAGUGGGGAAUAUUGCACAAUGGGCGCAAGCCUGAUGCAGCCAUGCCGCGUGUAUGAAGAAGGCCUUCGGGUUGUAAAGUACUUUCAGCGGGGAGGAAGGCGGUGAAGUUAAUAGCUUCACCGAUUGACGUUACCCGCAGAAGAAGCACCGGCUAACUCCGUGCCAGCCGCCGCAGUAA